GCGGAUAUGGUCGAAUGGUAAAAUUUCUCUUUGCCAAGGAGAAGACGCGGGUUCAAUUCCCG
rnacentral:tRNA from 1 species